rnacentral:rRNA from 1 species
UACGUAGGGAGCGAGCGUUGUCCGGAUUCAUUGGGCGUAAAGAGCUCGUAGGCGGCUUUUUAAGUUUGGUGUGAAAUCUCCCGGCUCAACUGGGAGGGCGCGCCGAAUACUGAGAGGCUAGAGUGUGGGAGAGGAAAGUGGAAUUCCUGGUGUAGCGGUGAAAUGCGUAGAUAUCAGGAGGAACACCGGUGGUGUAAACGGCUUUCUGGACCAUAACUGACGCUGAUGCACGAAAGCGUGGGUAGCAAACAGG